rnacentral:rRNA from 1 species
UUGAACGCUGGCGGCAUGCUUUACACAUGCAAGUCCGGACGGCAGCGGGGUAGUGCUUGCACUACUGCCGGCGAGUGGCGAACGGGUGAGUAACAUAUCGGAACGUACCGAGCAGUGGGGGAUAACUAAUCGAAGAUUAGCUAAUACCGCAUAUAUCUGAGGAGAAAGCAGGGGACCUUUGGCCUUGCGCUGUUUGAGCGGCCGAUAUCUGAUUAGCUGGUUGGUGGGGUAAAGGCCUACCAAGGCGACGAUCGUAGCGGGUCUGAGAGGAUGACCGCCACACUGGGACUGAGACACGGCCCAGACUCCUACGGGAGGCAGCAGUGGGGAAUUUUGGACAAUGGGGGCAACCCUGAUCCAGCCAUGCCGCGUGUCUGAGAAGGCCUUCCGGGUUGUAAAGGACUUUUGUCCGGGAAGAAAAGCGCGAUGAAUACCAUGCGUGCUGACGGUACCCGGAAGAAUA